CCAGAAAUGAAUCGUCGUAUGCACAAUAGUUGUUGAGCUUCGGAGACGGAAGCCGAAAUGUCGGUGGCCGCUUCGAACAUGGCGGCUGACCACUUCGACCCGGGCGAACUGGUCUGGUUCGAUCCGGGUGUUGGGUACUCUUUACCAGGUGAGGUGGUCGAAUUCUCCGCUCCCGCAGGCGUAGUCAUCGUUCAGGCAAUUGUCGCUGGCCAACCGAAGCCAUUUACCCUCCACAAUCUGCAGGCGGUUCGUCGACGUGAAGAUCUCGGGCCCGAUGGAGUUCAAGAUAUGAUUGCUAUGUCUGACCUCUGUGAGGCCAGCAUCCUUUGGAAUCUCAAGGUUCGAUACGAUCGUCAACACAUUUAUACAAACAUUGGCAGCAUCCUUUUGGCGGUCAACCCAUAUCGUCUGUUCGAUAUAUAUGGAGUCGAUGCCGUCAAACGAUACGAGGGUCAGAUCCUAGGAAGCCUGCCUGCGCAUAUAUUUGCGACCGCGUCUGCCGCGUACCAAAAGUUAAACAAGGGCGGAUCCGAGCUGGAAAAUCAGGUUGUGGUAAUUUCUGGCGAGAGCGGUUCGGGUAAGACGGAAUCAACCAAACUGAUACUUCGGUACCUGGCAGCAGUCAAUCGUUCGGCAAGUAACCUCGUGACGGAACAAAUUCUCGAAGCGUCUCCUUUGCUUGAAGCUUUCGGCAACGCGAAAACUGUCAAAAAUGACAAUUCGUCCCGUUUCGGAAAAUACAUGCAGGUUUUUUUCAACGACGGUGUAAUAACUGGCGCACGGACCAUUGACUAUUUGUUGGAGAAGAGCAGAAUAGUUACACAGGCUCAAGAUGAAAGAAAUUACCAUGUGUUCUACGAAUUGCUGGCCGGCCUCUCCGAUCAGGAAAAGGAAAAAUACGGCCUCCAAACAGCAGACAAAUAUUUCUAUUUGAAUCAGGGUGGCAGUAUCGAAUGUGGAUCCAAGAACGAUGUCGAGGAUUUCAGAUCGCUUCUUGCGGCGAUACAGGUGCUCGGGCUGUCAAGUGAAGAGACUGAUGUGAUAUUUCGCAUCCUCGCAGCCGUACUUCAUCUCGGCAAUGUCUAUUUUCAUCGGAAACCUUUAAAGCAUGGCACAGAAGGAGUAGACGUCGGUAGCGAGGCUGAGGUUCGUUGGGCAUCCCAUCUGUUACAAACCCCUGCAGAAGGCAUUUUGCGUUCUCUGACAACAAAAGCAACAGAAGCGCGCGGCGAGCGUCUUCUGACGCCUCUGAACAUUGAUCAGGCUCUCGACGCCAGGGACGCCAUUGCUAAGGCUCUCUAUUCAACGUUGUUUUCGUGGCUCGUGAAACGAGUGAAUGCUAUCGUAUACAAGGGGCCCCGGCGAGCCUGUAUUGCCAUACUCGACAUAUUCGGUUUUGAAAGCCUUCAGGAGAACUCAUUUGAGCAACUGUGCAUUAACUAUGCCAAUGAAAACCUUCAUAGUUAUCUUAAUCGACAUGUAUUCAAGUUGGAGCAAGCCGAAUAUGCAAAGGAAAGAAUCGAAUGGAUUCCGCUAGCCUAUCCGGACAACCAAGCGGUUAUUUCUUUGAUUGCCAAAAAACCAGUGGGCAUCCUUCAUCUACUAGACGACGAAAGCAACUUCCCCAAGGCCAGCGACGUUUCGUACCUUGAGAAAUGCCAUUACAACCAUGCGCUUAACGAACUCUAUUCAAGACCACGUAUGAGUUCAUUGGAGUUCGGCAUUCGGCACUACGCCGGUCAGGUGUGGUACUCUGUGGACGGCUUUCUUGAUAAGAACCGCGAUACACUCAGGCCCGAUGUAACGGAGCUACUGAUCGCAUCAAAAAUCACAAUGAUAUCGAAGAUGUUCCUUCAUAGCCGCGAGCAACUUCAGCAGGACGGCCACCGUGGAAGCCGACACGAUGGGGGUCGUUUUGUCACAAUGAAACCGCGAGCGCCGACUGUUGCAGCUCGAUUCCAUGAUUCGUUACAGGCGCUUGUUGACCAGAUGGCCCAGUGUAAUCCUUGGUUUAUCAGGUGCUUAAAACCGAACGCCGAGAAGAUCCCAAUGCGUUUGGACAUGCCGCUCGUUUUAGAGCAAAUACGAUAUUCUGGUAUAUUGGACACGGUGCGGAUUCGAAAGACCGGCUAUCCGAUCCGGUUUAAGUUUUCUCAGUUUGCUGAUCGAUACCAGUGUCUAAUUUCCCAGAAGACUCUCGGACGUGCCGCUCCGCCGCGUGAUAUAUGUCAACGUAUUUUGGAACAGUUCUCCUCAAGACAGGAUAAUUACCAGCUUGGCCAAUCGAAGGUGUUUCUGCGGGAGCCCCUGGAACAACACCUCGAUCGGACGCGUGCGAACCGUAUUCGCUCGGCCGUUAUAACGAUCCAGAAGCACAUCCGGGGCUAUCUCGCGCGUCAACGUUACGAUCGCAUAAAACUGUCUGCAGUUAAGAUCCAGUCCGCGUACCGAGGCUAUGCACAACGGCGGAAAUACCUCAAAGUGCGUCGUGGCGUUGUUCGUGUCCAGGCAAACUGGCGCAUGAAGUUGGCCUUACGCUCGUUCCGUCGACUUCAAGAGAGUGUCGCGUUAAAACGCGAGGCCGAACGUCGAGCCCGCGAAGCUGAACGGGAGAGAGUGGAACGUGAAGAACGCGAGAGGGAGAAACGAGAACGAGCCACAUUUCAACAUCUCGAAAUUCCGCCAGAACUACAGUUGGCACUCAAUAAUAUCGAUGACUGGCAGUGUCCCCAAGGCGAGAGAAAUAUUGUUAAAGCAAACGAGCGUCCUCAACGAAGGCCUCGCCGGGUUAUUGGACUUCCGGCAGAUAUCGACUCGCACGUAUUCAGCAAAUUCACCAACAUCUAUUUUAAGAGCCACCAAUGGGGUCUCAAGAAAGAGCCUAUUACUACGCCGUUCCUUGCUAAAGCUCACGACCAAGACAACCACGACUCGGUGGCCAUAUUCAAGCUUAUUCUGCGCUUCAUGUACGACCCGAAUCUGACGGGAAAGCGGGAGCGACUCUUGGGCGACUACAUCGUACAACGGGGAUUGGCACGACCUUCACUUCGAGACGAAAUUCUUUGCCAGCUCACAACCCAGACCUGUAAUAAUCCGGACGCCGCGUCCCGAAAUCGCUGUUGGCUGUUAAUGGCUAACUGUCUUUCUUGCUUCCCACCGUCGAGAACGCUCUACAAAUACCUCCUGAAAUACGUCUCUGACCAUGCGGCCGUAGAUAACUACGCUUGUCACUGCCAGCGUCUCCUUCUACGCAUCGGCGCAAUGGACGCCAAGCUAGCCCGAACUUAUCCACCCAGCCUGCUCGAGUGGCGCAAUAAUGCCAAUCGAUUUCAGAUCGGGCUUGAAGCUCACACGUAUGAUCAGAUGACGGAUCCCUUAGAUAGCGGAGCGCCCGCAACCAUUAUUGAAGCGCACUCGUGGAGUUCGGGACAGGAUUUUGCAACUGAUAUGCUGCACGCCCGAGGUAUUGAAGAAUCCCAUUCAUUUGGCUGGUCUACGGACCUCAUUGAGGAAAAUGGGAAUAUCGUUUACUCGUUGAACGGGGCCGAUUAUCUUAUGGACCUAAUCUCGGAAACGGAAAUUGCUCCCGGGUUCGACACCUGCAAAAGCUAUUAUCUUGUGUCGUGUGACCGGUCCCGACCUAUGGAAAAAAGUUUGCCGCUUUCGACGUCAGGGCCACAUGAUCCUGAACGCUACAAUGUUUACGAAGCAGAUAUAAAGGAACUGCCACCGCUUCCGGCUAAUCCCCCACCAGCUAAUCGACAGGUCGCGCGGGGUAAAACAUCCACAGCGAAGACUCCACAACCCGCACCUCCGGUAGCUAUGGGGAGGAAAGCGCUACACCAUAUGAGCACAAAUGCUCUUGGUCCAGCGGCCGGUGGCGGUGCCUACAAGAAGAAUCACAUGACUCCUUCUCGGAGUCGUUCGAUGGACGAUCUUCUCGAUGGCGACGAAGGCUCGGUAGUACCUCCACCUCUAUCGAAACGCAGCGCCUUAAAUGAUCGUUACUUUGAGGUCCGUCGAAGUCAUCAGCAACUUAGUACUCAUAACGAUAGUGUGGUCAGUCACGAUGACCUUCAGAGCGAUGCCGAUGAUGAUGUGCUCCCACUAAGCACGAAGUCGCGACUGAAUCAGCGAUACUUAUCUCAGCAAGCUGGAUAUCAAGGGCAUCAUCAACAGGGCGAAAUGGCCGACGGCCGCUCUUCAUCUAUUCCUGACAUAUCUGAGUUGUCACCGAUUAUGAACGCAGGAGGCGAGCGUCCUCAUCCGGCCUGGCAACGUAAGCUAGGAUUGAGCGCAUCGGCCCUCAAUGAACGCUACUUCGAUGACGGCAGCACUGGAGGUGCCGACGACGGAGCUAGAGGCUCGACAGGCUCUAUGCCAGUCACAGAGCAGACGAUCGAACCACAGCACAAAUUUGCACGGGAUCGCCCGCCAGCUGCACGGCCCGACUACCGAUAUCCUCCACACCCGAAAAGCAAGCGCUCAGCGCAGGCUCCCGGGCCGGCCUUAGGAAGCGGAUCGCAAAGUUCACGCGCAACUCGCGUAGGGCCUGGCGAAUACACACGGUCAUCUGCGAUGUCUGACUGCUCGGAAGCGCCGUCACUCGCUUCACACGUACGCCACGUCAAGGUUCCAUCACAUACAGCUGACCUCGAUCAGUAUCUUGAUGAACUGUUUAAUCCGGUACUUGAUGGCGAUGAUGGACUAUCAGAUGCCCGCUCCCUGGCCGCUAGCCUGAAGGGCCGUCAGCGAGACUUCGAUGAUGAUUCUCUUAUAGAGGCAAUGAGCGAUCCGGUUCGACUAUCACGGAAAAUCAAAGGAAUGAUAUUGGAUGAUGAUCAGGAUAGCACAAGUGAUCCUGUGGAAUCAGGCUCAAAGACUCCCGACCCCGUAUUUCCAGCGCCUCCGCCGCCUCCACCACCGAUGCCGACACCUGCACAGCUUGGACUCUCUUCAUUAUCGAACUCCACGACGACUUUACAGCGCUCUUUGGUGCCACUGGAUCAACCCCUUGAAGUGCAAACAGCGUCGCUCAGUUUCGACGACGAUGAGGUCCUCUCGCUUGCCGAGGACUCAAUUGGAAUGAUGUGGCAGGAUCCGGUCGCACUGAGCGCUCGCAUCAAGGGUGUAACGCAAGCAGUUGAGCAACAAGGAGCAAUGUCUGGAGCAGGUGUGCAAGGCUUACCGGGGCUGAACCCAGGGGCAGCGGCGUUCUUUGGCUUUGGAGCACCUGGUCAGCGAACUCAGGGUCCAUCAAGUCCUGGAAGUAACGGCGGCGCUACAACGUCGAACAGUAACGGCUCGAAUCCUGCCUUUUAUAACCUGCCUCUGUAUAACGUGUCAGGAAUGACCGUGCCAAUAGUUGACGCCAGCCAGUUGAUACAGCAACAGGUGCUGCAGCAGCAUAUGAUGCAGAUGCAACAACGGGCCUUCUUGGCCAGCGCCGUCCAGCAAAAUCUUCAAAUUCAACAACAGUUAAUGCAGCAAAGUGCAGCACUCCAACAACUGCUACAGAGUUCGGUCAUUGGAGGAGCUUCCUCUCCUGGCCAGUCAGCGGAAGAGGGACUUCAAAGUAUUCAGUCGACGACAUCUGCACCAGCCAAUCUGCAGAAGGGCCUUUUUCCGUCAGGUUUAAAUCUGAUGAGUCCCCUGCUGCUGAGCCAAUCACCUGGAGUUGGUCAAGACCUCUCGACGCAUUCGGUGCCUGCAAUGCCGACACAAGCCCCCAUAGGGAAAUUGCGAAAAUUUUCUGACAAGGGCGGCGCUGCUAGUGAUUCAAGCAGUACUAGCAGCAGCAACAAAAGCAAUUUUCAGAACGUCCUCUCCGAGCUUAAAAUGAAGGCUGGUAAUAGCGGACCUCCAGAUCCGCCACUUUCACCGACGUCCGCGAAGAAGAGGGCUGCUGAUCUGUAUGGCCGGGCCAAGACGAUUCGUAUCGGAAAGUGGCGGUGGCCACCGCCUCGAGACGAUAAGGGCAAUUGCAUUCCGGCACCGGGUCAACCUACUUCAUUUAGCGAGUUCAAACGCCUCAAGCGUGAGGCUAAAAAGCAAGCCAAGAGGGACGCUGGUUUAGCGGGACCUGAUGAUGACGAUAUCGAGGUCAGCUCGUCCGACGAUGAGAAAUACAUGCAUGGCAACCCGUAUAGCCAGAUGAAUGCUGCAACAGGAUCGGGUGACAGCGCUUUGAAGAGUAGUGGUACUAGCAAUAAGGAUGAUAUUAUCAAGGCUUUCGAAGGCCGGUCCCGUCCAGAUCCCGGAUCGAUCGGGAAAAUUCGUAUUAGUAAUGAGAUGAAAUCGAAACUCGAACAACUGACUAUUGAUCAUUCAGUCCGCUCGAAAAGCUCGUCGGCAAAGGGCAGUCCUGGUUCAGCCGUAUCCGCUUUCAAACAGCUCAACGAUGAGCGGAAAAACGCUCUUGAACGUCAGUUACAAGGUUGGUCUGAUAAUCAAGGUCAUAAAUGGACCGAUGGCCGAGCCCAGCCGAGAACAUCGGCAGCGGGAGCUGGUACCGAAUCAGAUGCGGAAAGUUUCCAUGUUGAUAAUCUUGUGAAAAAUAAAAUUAAAAAAAUGGAACGAGUGUCGCAGCAGAUCAAUGAACGCGGGAUACAUCCUAUUGGAAAUGGAGAACAGGCAUCGACCAAUAGCUCUGGCAAGUCAUAUGGAUACGACGAUAACAGCGAUCCAGAUUCACCGGUAUUAGCGCAAAAUAAGAAAAAUCAAAGGAACCAACUUGGCCCUCCUCCACCGCCGCCAGGGGGCGAGAAAAAGCAGACGUCCGAAUAUGAAGACGUCAAGGAAACCUCGACACCUCUGAUCGAGCGAAGUAACCGUCCUCCAGUCCAACAGCCGCAGACACAAACCAAGCUCUUUCCUCUACCACAGACUUCGUUCCUGAUGUAUACGAAUACACGUUGGGAACUUCGUAUCCGCAAAGAGGUUUUUUCGCCAGCCGAGACAUUGAACGAUCCCAAAGCCACACAUCUGAUAUUCGCACAAGUCGUUCGCGAGGUGAUAGCGGGCACCACGAUUCGUUUGACGCUGUCGGAAAUCUGCCAGCUUCGCUCCCUUUUGUCGGAGUUCGGCGUAACGGAAAGUAACGUAAAUGCUGCGGCAGCACACAAGCCUCACGUAAAAAAGGCCAUCAUCGAACAGUGCCGUAAAUUCCCGAACUACUUUGCCCGGAUCUUUCCCGUAUCAACAGGUGCUGCAGGACAGCGACAAAACCGGUCAGGAAACCAUUUACCCGAACUGCUUGGAGUGUCCCAUUCCGGCCUGCGACUACUACGACGUGACCGAGAUGCGUCUAACGGACGUGAGUAUCUCCGGGUCCUUGACACCAUUGCAUUCGAUAAUGUCGUAGACGUGAGUUUGGCCCGGGUUUCAACCGUGCAAUUACUGCUACGCGAUGGGGGGCUGAUGACGUUGUACUCGCCGAAAGCGCCACACAUUCAUUCGAUUGUCGAGAGAUUUGUUCGUGAAGCGCUUCGUGAGGGUGGGGGCAGUGAAUUCGUACGGGCGCUGGCAGAUUAUGUGACCUCAGAAAACAGUCUGCUCAGUUUUCGUCGAGGAGAUAUCAUCCGCUUACUGCAUAAGCCUGCGAGCCAUGUCAAUGUUCCCAAAGGCUGGCUAUUCGGCGCAUUGGAUACUGGCGAUACUGGUCUGUUUCCGAUUGAAUACGUGGGGCCACUUCAAACCCGCAACGGUCAUGAUAUGGCAGCAAUGCACCAUUCCUGGUCACAUGCCGAGCAUAAUAAGGAUGAAACCCGAACCCCAACAUCGAGGGAAGUGAGACGAAUCGAGCGUAGCGAGCACCAGAACUUACCCAAGAGAUCUCCACUAACCGAGCCAAACGGCAUUGACCCGCUUCAUGAACACAUCGGGUCUGAUAACGAAUUCGACGUGGUAGGUGACCUUAAUGCAGGCGGGCCGGGUGGACUAGGUUCCCCUAUUGCUGGGCCGUUGGAACCAAAUGGAAAAUUCUCAAUGCUGCAGUUCGCUGUGUUCAACUUCCGUGAGAGUUUGGAGAAAUACGACGUCCUGAGAGACCGUGAAAAUCAUUCGAUUCGAGGCAGUAUCAAGAUGCUGGAGUUGCUCAAACAACAAAAUAAACAGGGCAAGAAAAAGAGCAAAAAGAAAGCAGAGGAGGACUCGGAUUGGACAUGGAGCGAGCUUACGGAACUUGUCAAGUUCAGCAAAUCGCCACUCCACAAAUCCCUUUUGCCCUUAGAGUCAACCGAAUUGAACAAGGUGGCCGUAGACUGUUUCAUACAAAUUAUGCGUUACAUGGGCGAUUACCCGAUGGCGAAAGGCCUUCUCGAGGUAGACUGCGUGUAUUCGAUACUUAGCACGUUGCACAAGUACCCCAUGCUCCAUGACGAAGUUUACUGCCAGCUCAUCAAACAAUGCACCUCGAACAAAAGCUCGAAGCUUGAUUCAUGCCAGAAGGGCUGGCGACUGCUAUCCAUAGUGACCGCGUAUUUCGAUUGCAGUGAUAACCUUCGACCGUAUCUUUUCCAUUUCCUCGAGACCGCCGCGUUUGAUAAUCGACGAGCGUUCCAUGGAACAGCGAUGGUGUGCCUGCAUAAUCUGCGCAAGACGUUCCGCUACGGAGGCCGCAAGAAUGUCCCUUCAAUUGAAGAAAUCGCUGCGAUUUCGGCUGGGCGAAACUCGAAGCGUCAGAUGUACCGCCUGCCAGGUGGCACAGAAAGGGUUAUUAACACGAGAUCGACAACAGUUGUUGACGAUAUUAUUGAAGACAUCUGUUCCGUGCUCGGUGUUACAGAUCCCCUUGAGAUGGAAGAAUUCUCGUUGUACUGUAUUGUAGAAGGCGAUCCAUUCACGAUGCCACUGAGUCGUGAUGAGUACAUUCUGGACGUUACCACGGAACUGCUAAAGAAUGAUCACGUCUUCUACUUAAUCUUCUGCCGUUCCGUCUGGUAUUAUAAUCUGAGACUCGACAAUCAACUUUACAUCGAGGUAAUCUUCAACCAGGUCGCACCAGAUUACCUAGAAGGUCUUCUACUCGUUACUGAGGGUGAUGAGUUACCUGAAGGCGCCGUUCAAGACAUCGCCCGAAUUGCCGCGCUGUUACAUCGUGCGGCCAACAUGCAACAUACGCCGACAAAAGAUGAAGUUAAGUAUCUCCUGCCGAAGCCUGUACUGCCAAUGAAGGACAUCAAGCCACCACAAUGGGUUGAGUCCGUUCAGCAGCAUUGGCCCCAGGCCCUCACGGCCACAACAACUGAAGCUAAGGCCGAAUGCCUCGCUAUACUACAACAAUGGCCAUUGUUCGGUUCAUGCUUCUUCAAUGUGAAGUGGAUGCGCAGUGAGAGUACAGCUAACGAGCAAGUACUAGCCCUCAACCGUGAGGGUAUCCAUUUUCUCGAUGUGCAGACGCAUAAUACUGUUUGGAUGCAGCCAUUUUCGGAGGUGAUCUCGACCCGAAAAGUUCAAGCGGAGGAUGGAACCCUGUUUUUGGAUAUGAAGUGCGGCAAUCUAAUGCAGCAGAAAAUCACGCGGAUUCAAACUGAGCAAGCUCACGAAAUCUCACGCCUUGUGCGGCAGUAUAUCAACAUUGAGCAGGGCUUACAAGGCCGAGGAGGACCCGGCGGACAGCUAAACGCUAUGGGAACACAAAAUAUGACACUGACGAGGCGUUAAUACUACUAAUACUGUCAUAAUCUUUACAAGGAAACUGCAUACUUUCCCAAUCUUUGAAGCGGGAAGACGAACGAGGCUAUAGUUUCGCAUAGUCUUAACGUUGCAAGAUGUAAUACUAAUGCAAUAAUAAUGCAAUAGGUUUUAUGGCGACUCACCAUUAACUUGGAACUUCGCACCAACAAAUGGCACCCGAUCGCCAAAUGCCAAACGGACCGUCCCAGCAAAUGCCCAAAAGGACCUUGAAAGGUUACGAAAUCUUAAACGCCACAGCCAUGCUGACCGUUUGAGUACUGGCAUAUAAUCAAGUUUCGAAUAAUUUUAGCUUUGCAGCGUAGAUAACGAAAGACCGGAGAUAUUUUGAGUGAAUCUUACUGAGAACUUGUUUCAACUGAACGAACGGACAUGACGACUGUCGGUGCUCACUAGCCGACAAUUUAUACUGUGCAAGAAGAUGGAGUGAAUUUUGAACGGAUGCACAAUUUCGAAACGGAACUCCGCCUGCCCGUUCGCAUGAAAACCUAAAUAGGAUAUCGUCGAUGGUUAAGUGCGAUCUUUUUAAGCAGAUAGUUGCACCUAGCGUUGAGCCAUGUCGGGUGCCUAAUAUUAUUAUCAUAUCAUUGGAAUCAUUUACUAAAAUCUCGUUACUAUUAGAAUAUAUAUUCAAUAGCAGCCUUCAUCGAACUGGUCGUUUCUUGUUGGCGCAUGAUUAGUUUGGAGCUGAAUGCAACAUUGCUGAAGUUGCCACUCACUUCACAUGAUGCCACUGUGCAGGGUCCGGGUCAUUGCGUAUGUGGGUCAGCAUAUGGGUUCGACAUGUAUUCGCGCCCGACAUUUCGUUUACCUUGAAAAUCGUGAUCGGCUUGAACAACCGAAGAGAGGCUCUAUUCAUUCAUUAAUUCAUGCAAUAUACUAUAUAACGAAUAUAUAUAGCCUUUUGUAUAACUGCCCUGUUGGACCCUGAACGGUUCAUUACUACUAGAGACAUUAGACAAAGAGCGAGAUAAACUGUGUACUCCGAACGCCAAUUCAAGCUAUACAUCUCUUUCUCAAUGAAAUCAUUACCUUGCUUGUUAGUACACUUUGUACUAUAGCAUUUCGAUGUUUUCUCGAAACGUGCUACCGUGUGUGUGUUGUGUGUCGUAUUUGUUAGACGUACGCCGAUGACACGACUGUUUGGUACUAUGCUUGAUAAUCAAACGCGGAUCUGAGGCGCCCGGCAUCAAACCAGAAAUCUAACGUGGCCCGAUUAUUUUUUAUUCGGUAAUGAUUCAGCAUAUAAAUACAUCGUGUGAAGCAGAGGUGCUAUUUCCUUCAAAAGAAAUGCGUUGGGAAGCUGUGUGGGUCGCACGUUCACGCGCAGGUGACACGAGUUCGAAAGAGUUGACAAAUAACACCGUUAAGCAGAAAUCACAACAACAACAACAACAACAACAACAACAACAUUAAGAGAACAUAGGAGAGUGCCGUAUAUAGGGAAACUCAUAAGGAAUGAGCAUCUGUUAACUGUGUUAAAAUGGCAUAAUAUGAUCGUAUGAUUAGUUAUUAUCAGUUCACACUAGCGGUAAAGUUACAACUGCAAUAAGUAGUUAAUAAUAGGUACACAUACGUUGGAAGUUAGGCAAAGUUUGCGGAUGGCUGACAAACGCCAGUGCUUGAGCUGCCUAGGAACAGUGAUUAGAAAGCAAAUGUUGACGCUAGUGUAAUUAACGAUAUAAACUUUGCUCAUUGUUUAUUAAUAUUGGAGACUGACUUGUGAGUUAUUAACAGCUGUCGCUCAUCUUAAAUUGAUGGACGACGCCGCCGCAGACAUGAGAUCGGCUAUCUGUGGUAGAUUGCUCGCUACUAAAACAUACUCAGAACAAGAAGGAGUAUGCCAUUUGAUACGCGAUGGCAACGCGAUAGAACCUUUUCUGCGGCUGUGAUGGCAAAGAGGCUUAUCGAGAGCCGUUAGGCGUCAUCGAAAUCCCCAUUAAAGUAUCCACAUAGUCUACGAGACCAAUUUCAUUUCAAGUUAUUUACGACAUGCUAUACUCUGUUCCCAUCAAUAUGCUGUACCGUUUCAGCUAGCGUCAGUACCUUCUGUUCAGGUCCGCUAAAACGCAAUCGGUGCUGAUCGACCUAUCUAGGCUCCCCGGAUGCUGAGUUGGGCGUAUUUCCAUUUCUGUCCCACAUGUGGUCGAACAUCUAACAAACGUGUAUGACUAUAAUACAUCAAGGGAUACUGAGAAAGGAGAAACAGGCCAUGGUGUAUUUGUUGCCUUACGAAGCAGUUGAACUGAUCAGAAACUUCAGUACGAAUGACAGUAUGAAUGUGGUUUUGCCCUUGGUGGGCUUAGCAUAUUGAGCGAGUGCCCACAGGAUCCUAUCUACAAAAUCAUCGAUAGGAACCAUCGACGUACCGUCCGCAUGUAUAGCAGAACUGAGUGAUUAUAGAUAACAUUAGUGAUCUAAUGAAUAAUAGUAGUAUAAUUAAUGACAAGCUGAAAAGGGAAACAAAAAUAACGAUAUUAAUAUAUACAUGACAACACCAACAACAAAAGCAUCGAUAAUAACAGGAAAUCCGUAGUAAAUGAAGUACUGGUCAGGUAACAAUGAAGACGAAUGUGUUUUUGUCUUAGGUAUGCGGGUUAGUUUUAGACAUUACGUUCAGCUUAAACAGUAGAACGAGAGCACACAUUUUUCACAUAACAGCUAGUUAGACAAAUGUAUCACAAGCAGUGAUGCUAGGGGUAUUUUUUACGUGAACUUUAAUGCCCCGUGAACGAAUAUACAAAUGGCACAAAGCUAGCAUACAUUUAACUACCAAUAGGCUUAUUGCUAGUGGGCGAACAAUGAAUGCAUCUGCGAUUUGAUUUCUAUAGUUUUCUAAUAUUUUUAGUCAACUUUUACGUUUGUACAAUGGCAAGGCACAGAUAACAACCUCACAGUUUGGCGGAAGAUUGUAAUGUGUAUAAAUCAUAGCACCGGAAGGAAUAACUUGCAAAGAAAGUAGCACUUAUCAUUUUCUAGCAUUAUUUAUUCCUGGAAGAGUAGUAGUAGUAGCAUUUCUUGUAAAAGCCGAGGUCUCUCAGCGUCUUCUCAAAAGUUACUGGCUAUUCAUUACCAUCGUGACUUUGCAGAGGAGUCAAUUGUUUUAACCAAAAGUUUAAAUUCGAAGUGAGCAAAAUUGGAGUUACAUGAUUUCGGAGUAAGCGCCUCAUCUUAUAUAAUGCCCCUCAUACACAGGCCUUCGAUGAACAAUAUGAUUUGAAAUCUCAGUCGGAAGAUCUAAAGCUCCUAUUUUCCACUUGGGUAUCAAGCAAAACUAUUCAUGCAAUACUAUAAUUUUCCUUUAAGUAACCAUUACGUACAUAUAUAUAGUCGACAGUAACGCAUUUACAUCAUAAUAAGCUGAGAAGCUGUUCUACUACUUCUCUUCCGAGAGCUCCGUGAACAAGAAUCAGGAAACAGUUCGAUGGGACGUAAAGUAUCACGGCUACGAUGCCCAAUGCCCAAUGCCCAAUGUGGGACAUAUUAGUCUAAUCAACUACUAAGGCUUUCUUCGUGAAAUCGAUGGCAGUUCCGCUGUAAUGGCUAUUAAUGUAACUUCUGCAAGUUAAAUGUAGUUUUUGUAACAAUGUGCCGCGAAGUAGAAUCGGUCUGUCGGCAGUCGAGUUUUAGGUUCCUCAUAAAUCGUGUUCCUCGUGUAAAACUUAAAAAAAGAUUGCUUUGUUGCUUUUUACAAGGAAAAGCCGUGACAAUCAAUUGACACAAUUUGUGUGUCCGAUGGGUUUCGAGGAAAUGUCUACAUUGAGACUUGCAGUUACCACGUGUUUAUCAGCUUUUCGAAUUAAGUUUGAGCUCCUUGGCCAUCGAAUAUUUGGAUUUUUCUUUAUGAUUUGGAUAGUUCUGGAUGGAACGACAGCUUACAACUCUCACCAGAAGUCGUUACUCGAAAGGGUACGCUCGAAAGGGUCUGACAAAUAGUAGCUUACACAGAAUCAUCUGGCCAGACCAACGGCCAAAUCAGUCGUGCGGCUUCACUGUCUAUAUCUAGCGCAAUAAAUUAGAUCAGACGUCUACGGGACACUCUCGCCAUCGUAUUACGCGUACUAAGGCGUACUACAUAAAACGUCGUUGGUUCGUCUUUGGAUGAAACUCAAACUGAAUAGACUCAAGCCGGUUAUUCCACUUUACGCCUUUAUAAGUGGAACUAUUCAAGCUACAAUUAGCAAAUGUUUCGCAUUGAGACAUAAGCAGAACGGCUCUCUGUAUUAGGCAGAUUCGUCAGCGGUCGUCAGCGCAUGCCAUCCAGGCCCCAUAUAGCCAACCUUAAAAGGAUAAGGUUAGUCAAUAUGACGUUAUAUUUUAUUAAUGUGGUCCUUAUGAGAAAUAGUAUGUAGUUAUUACCUACUGUUUGUGGGAGAUAUUUCUUACAACUACUUAUGAAUAUAUAUUAGUACUCUCGGCAAGCAGAGGUGAGCCUCUUUUGACAGAAACCUUUACCACAAUCGAUAUUAUAGACUAUAUGGCAUUAUUAUUGGUUAUCGUUAUUACAUCGAAUUAGUUCAAACAGAUGUCACAGUCUUACUACUGAUAUAAAGGAUUCUCAACUGGAGAAGGCGAUAAGACAGCAGCCAUUAUUACCAUCAAGGGCUGAUCAUAGCAAUUCCAGCCUGUAGGACUACAAUCUGAGAGGGAGUCCAAGGACAUCUUUCAUUGUGAGCAGGAUAAUUCGAUGUGUAACGAAGCCAGAAAAGCCAAGCCAAGCCAAGUCGAGUCAUAAAGGCAAGGGAUGGCCUAGAAGAAGCAACUCGAUUACCCGAUCCCGUUUGUCUGCUUAAGACAAAAACUUUUAUAACUGCUCAUUUUGGUUCUCUUCGAAAGGAGCAAGUAGUUGCACACGCUCGGUUGAAACAUGCUAGGCCAAGGUCAUUUAGACGAAGCCUCGUACGAUUUUGGUGCCGCAUUUAGAUGACAUGGGGGUCCAGACAAUUGCCGAACACUUGAACUUCCGUGCCAGUCAUGCGGGUAUUCGUUCGCUGCUAAAAGCUACGACGCAUGAAACGUCACUUCAAGGACCUCAAGUAUCUUUCAUUAGUUAGGUUAUAGACGCCCCGUCAAUUACAACGUAUUAUAUGAAACAGACGAAAGGAAUUAUCGGAUCACGUACUGAAAUUCUAUCGGAAGCUCCGUCGAACACUAGCGUUACACUUAGACAAGUACUGUUUUACGUCCCUACCAAAAUUUGCCCUCAAAGCCUGCAGUGGACGAUGUUUACCUUUCUUCUCGAGUUCGAUAUAUGCACGUUUCACUUAGUGGAAAAUAUCCGCACGGACUUUUCCCUCUACAGUUAUGCUUAGAUUUGUCCGCGACGUUUGCAAGGCUCGAUCUGAGAAGCCCCGUUGCUACUGGAUAUUAAGGUUCCAGCAGCGCUAUAAUGUCGGCCACACUAAGCAGUCAACCGAGUCUUCUCAGAUCGGCUCUCUACGAAUGUAAAUAUAUGACGCAGGUUUGUUUCCUUUGCCCUGUUUACUGUACUGUUAAUUUUUCGAAAUUAAAGAAGUUGCACAACUCCGAAGCACGCCCUUACCUCUACGUCCGCCCCAAUAUUACUUUUCGUGUCUGCUACGGUAAUGCUUAACGCACCUUUUCAGGUUCACUGCAAAAACAGAAGGCAACCUUGAUCAAUCCCAAGGCCGAUACAAUGAUCGACGACUGUUUAACACCUUCAGUUUUUAUUACUAGUACACGAUGUGCAGCAAGAGCUGGAAAUCGCUCAGGAAGCAAGGACAGGGUUAAUGAGGAGCUGUGAAUCCGAUGGUCGAUCGGGCGCCAGAGAAACAAGUUUACAAAUGUUUUAACGUAUUGAUUGCAAUACGUUUUUUUUCGAAAAAAUGAAGGUUAACGUUCAAAAAGAGCAUUCCUAAUCGGGCGACCCAGGUAGAAUUUGUAUAUUUAGUUUGGAUAAAAUUAAUGACUAGACAAAUCACCGAGCUCUCAUCGCGGAGAGCGGGAAAGAAAGAGGAGGCUUACCAUUUUAAAGCACUUAGUUGAAAGGAGGAUAAUAUGGGCUCAUAGUCAAGACAAGUCGCUUGUUAGUUUAAGUUUGGGUGCGACAUAUAUAGCCUGAUAACUGCUGAUAUAGAAAAAUGUAUGUAAACAACGAUGUGUGUACAAGGAAAUGUAUGAGGGUUUCCCGGGGCAUUUGUUCACAGUCGCAUUUAUUUUCGUAAAUGGGCGCUAGGUGGCAAAAAGUUUGUUGUUACCGUCGAUUUGCAGACAUUAUUCGCUUAAGCACGCUUUCAAAUCGCCAAACGAACUAUUCCUGUUUGUUUUUAUUUGUAUCAGUUAAGGCCGAUCUAGCCACCGGGGGCAUCCCGUACCAGACAUUAAAGCCGACUUGCCGCUAUGCGAUAUGCUCUAUAAACUAAAAAUGCUAAAAGGACCUACGACCCGCCAACACACACGCUGUGGUCGAGGGCAAGAAUCAUUUGGACGCACCCCGUGCCAACGGAUCAGUAAUAUAAAGAAACCCUGCAUCAUUAUAAUAACUCAUAGACUACAGGACGGUGUAUGGCCAGGUAUAACAUCUAACACAAGGCGCUCUUAUAGCAAAGUAAUGUAUACGCAUGUUGUUAUAUUGUUGUUCUACACUCAACAAUAGUUCGGAUAAAGUGCGCAUGAUCCGAUUGUAUCUGCUUAGUUAGAUAUAAAUUCAUUUGGCUCAUAGUAGGUGCGUUAUAAAAUAAAAAAAAAAAAAACGUUUACCCGCUCUCAAAGGUUUAGGCAGUAUAUGAUGUGGACGUUCCGCUUUCUAAAUGACAUCCCAUCUUGGGAAGGAAUAAGAUCUGCUUUUGUAUCUGGCAUGGCCAUAUUUAUCGAAUGUUGUUUCGGCUGCUAGCGGAUCCGAACUUUGGUUAUUACGCUACCGUUGUACUAUAGCUAUAAGGGUAGAAGUUUAUUCGAUUGUUUGAAGCUCUAUCGGAAGAUAGUCUUAUCAGGUUUAUGACUACACUAUGAGAUGAAGGUGUGCCUUAAGUUAGAACUGAUAUACUUAAUAUAACCACCUUUUAGUAAAAAAUUAUUGUUGUGAUCAAUAAUUGUCGUCAAUAUUGUUGAA